GAGUACGGUCGCAAGAUUAAAACUCAAAGGAAUAGACGGGGACCCGCACAAGCGGUGGAGCAUGUGGUUUAAUUCGACGAUACACGAAGAACCUUACCUGGACUUGACAUAGUAAGAACUUUCUAGAGAUAGAUUGGUGUCUGCUUGCAGAAACUUAUAUACAGGUGCUGCACGGCUGUCGUCAGCUCGUGUCGUGAGAUGUUGGGUUAAGUCCCGCAACGAGCGCAACCCUCGUCAUUAGUUGCUAACAGUUCGGCUGAGAACUCUAAUGAGACUGCCUACGCAAGUAGGAGGAAGGUGAGGACGACGUCAAGUCAUCAUGGCCCUUACGUCCAGGGCUACACACGUGCUACAAUGGGGUAUACAAAGAGCAGCAAUACGGUGACGUGGAGCAAAUCUCAAAAAUAUCUCCCAGUUCGGAUUGUAGUCUGCAACUCGACUACAUGAAGUUGGAAUCGCUAGUAAUCGUAGAUCAGCUAUGCUACGGUGAAUACGUUCCCGGGUCUUGUACUCACCGCCCGUCACACCAUGGGAGUUGAACUCAUUCGAAGCGGGGAUGCUAAAGUAGCUACCUUCCACAGUGGAUUCAGCGACUGGGGUGAAGUCGUAACAAGGUAACCGUA
rnacentral:rRNA from 1 species